UACAGAGGUCCCAAGCGUUGUUCGGAUUCAUUGGGCGUAAAGGGUGCGUAGGCGGCGAGGUAAGUCGGAUGUGAAAUCCCGGGGCUCAACCCUGGAACUGCAUUCGAUACUGCCUUGCUCGAGGACUCGAGAGGAGAUUGGAAUUCACGGUGUAGCAGUGAAAUGCGUAGAUAUCUGGAGGAACACCGGUGGCGAAGGCGGCGAUCCUGGACCGGCAUUGACGCGUGAGCGCGGAAAGCUAGGGGAGCAAACGGG
rnacentral:rRNA from 1 species